UUAAAAGAUGUCAAGAAGCUCAGAAUGGCCCAGAAUCUGAUGUGUGGACUCAUCAGUCAAAAAUCAGGUGCUCCAUACUUGCUUGCAGUGCCUACGUGGCUCUGGCUUUGGGUGAUAACCUCAUGGCUUUGAAUCAUGCAGAUAAACUUCUUCAGCAGCCCAAGCUGUCAGGAUCUCUUAAGUUUUUGGGACAUUUAUAUGCUGCAGAAGCCCUCAUCUCUCUCGACAGAAUAUCUGAUGCCAUUACUCACUUGAACCCGGAGAAUGUCACUGAUGUCUCCUUAGGGAUCUCUUCAAAUGAGCAGGACCAAGGAUCAGACAAAGGUGAAAAUGAAGCAAUGGAAUCCUCUGGUAAGCGGGCCCCUCAGUGCUACCCCAGUUCCGUCAACUCUGCCAGGACUGUGAUGCUGUUCAACCUUGGCAGCGCUUACUGCCUGAGGAGCGAAUAUGACAAAGCCCGAAAGUGUCUCCACCAGGCGGCUUCAAUGAUCCAUCCUAAAGAGGUGCCCCCUGAGGCCAUCUUGCUGGCAGUCUACCUUGAACUGCAGAA
rnacentral:ncRNA from 2 species